rnacentral:rRNA from 1 species
AUACGGCGAAACUGCGAAUGGCUCAUUAUAUAAGUUAUCGUUUAUUUGAUAGCACCUUACUACUUGGAUAACCGUGGUAAUUCUAGAGCUAAUACAUGCUAAAAAUCCCGACUUCGGAAGGGAUGUAUUUAUUAGAUUAAAAACCAAUGCCCUCUGGGCUCUCUGGUGAUUCAUGAUAACUUCUCGAAUCGCAUGGCCUUGCGCCGGCGAUGGUUCAUUCAAAUUUCUUCCCUAUCAACUUUCGAUGUUUGGGUAGUGGCCAAACAUGGUUGCAACGGGUAACGGAGGGUUAGGGCUCGACCCCGGAGAAGGAGCCUGAGAAACGGCUACUACAUCCAAGGAAGGCAGCAGGCGCGCAAAUUACCCAAUCCCGACACGGGGAGGUAGUGACAAUAAAUACUGAUACAGGGCUCUUUUGGGUCUUGUAAUUGGAAUGAGUACAAUUUAAAUCCCUUAACGAGGAACAAUUGGAGGGCAAGUCUGGUGCCAGCAGCCGCGGUAAUUCCAGCUCCAAUAGCGUAUAUUAAAGUUGUUGUGGUUAAAAAGCUCGUAGUUGAACCUUGGGCCUGGCUGGCCGGUCCGCCUCACCGCGUGCACUGGUCCGGCCGGGCCUUUCCCUCUGUGGAACCCCAUGCCCUUCACUGGGUGUGGCGGGGAAACAGGACUUUUACUUUGAAAAAAUUAGAGUGCUCCAGGCAGGCCUAUGCUCGAAUACAUUAGCAUGGAAUAAUGAAAUAGGACGUGCGGUUCUAUUUUGUUGGUUUCUAGGACCGCCGUAAUGAUUAAUAGGGACAGUCGGGGGCAUCAGUAUUCAAUUGUCAGAGGUGAAAUUCUUGGAUUUAUUGAAGACUAACUACUGCGAAAGCAUUUGCCAAGGAUGUUUUCAUUAAUCAGGAACGAAAGUUAGGGGAUCGAAGACGAUCAGAUACCGUCGUAGUCUUAACCAUAAACUAUGCCGACUAGGGAUCGGACGAUGUUAUUUUUUGACUCGUUCGGCACCUUACGAGAAAUCAAAGU